GGCUUGCAGCUACCAGAAAGUCAUUAAGGCAUUAGUUUGCCUAAGAAGACAGAUCUGAAGGAAAUUCGAGAAAAGGAAAAAAUGAAAAAGCCAAGGGGAGAACUGGUGACAAAGGAAGUAUCCAUCAACUGGGAAAUGGCUAAAAUUGUGGUACAUUAGUACCAAGAAAUAGAACUUCAAAGAAAGAAAGGAUGUAAAUGAAGGACACGGAAAAGCGUGAGAAGAUUGAUAUAAACUGAUAGAGCAUUUGAAACUCUGGAAGACCCCGUGGAUACUAUUUGGCUUAAGGUAGAAAAGGAGUUCUUGUUGGAUCAAAAAGUGGAGCUCUGGCCUUUGGCAUCUCUUACCAGCCCACAUGGCUCUCU